AUCGCGCUCAUCUUCCCUCCAGACUGACGUCUCCUGAGUAGCAAGCGGGCAGUAAUGGAGCCGCCGGAAGGACACUGCGACGGGAUGGCCGCUGACCAGCACACCGUGUGGAUUCUACUCGGAUAAUAACACUCCUUUUCAUUCGCUCACAGCCAGACUGCACUGAACGACGAGCGAGGGACGUCGUUAGAGAGGCCGGGAGGAUGAAUGAAUAUUCCGUGACAAGCCGGUCUAGUCAGCCCAACCCAGUCCGAGCUGGGUGGCUUCAUCCGGCGUAAAAGCAGCCACCUUCCACCGGUGAUGUCUGCCUUCUGCCUCGACCUGAACACGCCCGGAGGUGUGAGUCCAGCACCACUGGAGCUGGACAGCGACACCAUGGAGCCGCGCCACAGCCCGGCGAGCCACCAGCCCGGCGGCCGCCCGAUGCUUCACGCCGGCUCCGGAGGCCUCGGCGUGGCACUGGAGGAGGAGCUGGCCAUGCUGGGUGAGAAGCCGGGCGAGGAGGAAGAGCUCCCGGUGGUCCACAACGCAGACUUGCGGUCCCUCUUUCGCCAAAAGGAGAAAGAUUUGCUCCUGGCUGCCAAACUCGGCAAAGCUUUGUUGGAAAGGAACCAAGACUUGAGCAAGCAAUAUGAGAAAAUGCACAAAGAUCUCAACGACAAAUUAGAGCACUUGGAGCAGGAGAAGCAUGAGUUGCGUUGGCGUCUGGAAAGUCGAGAGGGGGUGUGGGAGAGUCGCGUGGCCGAGUUGGAGAGCGACGUUCAGCAGCUGCAAGGAGAUCUGGAGCGACACCAGGUCCAGUUGAGAGAAACCGACAGGGACAAAACCAAGGCCAUCAGUGAACUGUCAGAACAGAACCAUAGAUUGCGGGACCAACUUCGAAGGGCUGCUGAGGUGGAGAGGCAGCUAACCAUUCAGGUCCAUUCAUUACGGGAUGACUUCAGGGAGAAGAAUACGUCUGCCAGCCAGCACAUGACACGACUAGAAAUACUACAAGCUGAAAUUAAAAUGCUGUCGGAGAGGAAGAUGGAGCUGGAACGGCGGAUGCAGGUCGUGCUGGAGGAGAAGGAAGUGCUUAGGAAUACCGUAGAAGACCUCAGAGAGAAGACGCUGGUGUUGGAGAGGCAGUGUCACGAGAAAGACCAACAGUUGCAGCAGAGUCAGGUGGCGCUUCUGGAGGUUCAGUUGUCCCACAGACAGCUGGCAGCUCAACUAGAGGAGCUAACGGAGGAGAACAGCCUGCAAAGCCUCACCCCUCACCGGUCUAGCCUAUUGUGUGAGAUAGAACAAAGUAUGGAACAGGAGGAGCAGGAGCAGGAGCGGGAGCAGCUGCGUCUUCAACUAUGGCAGGCCUACUGUGAGGUGCGCUCACUGUGCUCCCAUCUCCGGGGUAACGACGUCACAGACUCUGCGCUAUCCACAGAUUCUUCCAUGGACGAGUCCUCGGAGACGUCCUCAGCCAAGGACGUACCUACCGGGAGCCUUCAUGCCAACCUGCUGGAACUACGCAGGCUGACACAGAACCUGCUUGAUGGCAACGAGUCCACGGGCUCUCGGCGCAGUGAUGAGGAAGCUUUGGAAGAACAGUUGAGGAAGCUUGGAGAAGAACUAAGAGAAGUCCGAGAACUGUAUGAAGUGGAGCAGGACAAGACGCACAACAGUAAAGAGGAGCUGCUACAGCUGCACAAUCAGAUGACGCUGCUCUCAGUAGAAAUGUGUUCCCUCCAAGAGGAGACCGAGCUGUUGAGGACCAUGGCUGAGGUCCGAGAGCCCAGCGAGCAGCUCCAGAGUGCAAUCAAAGACAGAGAUGAGGCCAUUGCAAAGAAGAAGGCAGUGGAGAUGGAGCUGGCCAAGUGUAAAAUAGACAUCAUGUCUUUAAAUAGUCAGCUUCUGGACGCCAUCCAACAGAAGCUCAACCUAUCACAGCAGCUGGAAGCCUGGCAGUUUGCAUCCUCAGGGCUCUUUACAGUAUGGCUCUUGUGGUUUCUGAUCUAGUGGCCUUUCUCAGCUUCUGUACCACCCUCUCUACCCCGUGGUGCCCUCCCCCUUCCUGCCUUAGAGGAUGACAUGCACAGAGUGAUUGACCAGCAGUUGAUGGACAAGCACCAGGACGAGUGGCGGUCUCCUCACCCCUCGGGGUCGUCGAGGGCUCACAGCGCUCAGUCCUCCAGACGAG